rnacentral:rRNA from 1 species
GACGAACGCUGGCGGCGUGCCUAACACAUGCAAGUCGAGCGGGGACAGUCAAGUAGCAAUACGAGGCUGUUCUAGCGGCGGACGGGUGAGUAACGCGUGAGCAACCUUUCCUUCACAGGGGGAUAACGCACCGAAAGGUGCACUAAUACCGCAUGAGACCACAGCGCGACAUCGCGUAGGGGUCAAAGGAGCAAUCCGGUGAAGGGUGGGCUCGCGUCUGAUUAGCUAGUUGGCGAGGUAACGGCCCACCAAGGCGACGAUCAGUAGCCGACCUGAGAGGGUGAUCGGCCACAUUGGGACUGAGACACGGCCCAAACUCCUACGGGAGGCAGCAGUGGGGAAUAUUGGGCAAUGGGGGAAACCCUGACCCAGCAACGCCGCGUGAGGGAAGAAGGUUUUCGGAUCGUAAACCUCUGUCCUUGGUGAAGAGAAGAGGACGGUAACCAGGGAGGAAGCCCCGGCUAACUACGUG